GGGAGAAUGGGGACGCGCGGACGGCACAGAUCGCCCCAUUCUCCCUUCCUGGACGCGUCCGCAGAUCGCUCUGGCCGUCAAUGGGCCUGUGCGUGUGCUUGAGCAAGGAAGCCUCCGAUGUGUCACGUGAGGCUCAGAGGGCGGACGGAAAGGGUUCUCGGGCUCCCAUUCCUCCUGCCCGCAGGGCCUGUUCUUGCUGCUGGCCUGCACACCCCCUCCUCCUCCUCCCAGGCCUGCGGCCUCUCGCCCGCCUUGCCAGCCUUGCCGGCUGCUCGCCUGGCCGCGAUGCCUGCUCCUGCCUGACCAGUGCCUGCCCCCACCUGGCCACAAUGCCUGCUUCCCCGCCACCUUCGCCUUCCCUUCCGCCCCGAAGGCGGGAUGGCGCCGCUGGACCAUGGUGCGCUUCUCCGUCCUCUCCAAGGCAAGGAAGGAGGGAGGCGGGGGAGCCAAGCCAGCAAGCAGUAGCAGCAGCAGCAGCCCCCUCCUCUGCCUCCUCCUCCUCCUCGGCUGGGGCGAAGGCCAGGUUUUCUUAUCACAUUGCCUUGUGAUGUAGUCACAGCCAUCUGUAUCCAAAACCUGUUUACAAUCCCAUUUUGUACUAUAAUAGUUCAUUUGUUCUGCCUUGAGACUCCUCAGCUUGUGAGUGUGUCAGAGAUAGCUCCGACAUCAUGUGUGAUCCUGAGGUCCUGUUCUGAUCCACUGUAUUUAAAAGUUUCCAUAUCAGCUCUAAUGAGGCUGCUGAAUUACGACCUAAGUAUGCGUCUCAUUAAUGAUGUAAUUAGAAAUCUGAUUGUAAUUUUUAAAAAGCUGGGUGUAAUGGGUAAAUUGUCCUCAGAAAUACAGAACAUGGGGAAAAUGGGUUUAAGGACCUCAUCAGAUAGGCAGGGAAAAAGAGGGGGAAAGCAUGGGAUAGUGGAAAGAACCAUCUUACACUGUUCCCUCCUGACCAGGUCUGUCUUCUGCCAUUCCAGGUCCUUUCUCCCUUCAGGUCUGUCUUUUUGCCACAUUUCCCCAUUUUGUGCCAUUAGGAAUUGGGUAAGGAGAGGCACUCUGGGCUUUGUUUUUCCAUGCUGCCAAAAUAGAGGCUCACAGAAUCCCACCAAAAUUGCCCUGCGUCAUGUGAUGGGCUCUGUAGUACUCCAUUUCAGCAGCAUGGAGAAACUGUGAGAAGACUUCAUUUGAUGACGUCAUAGGUUUCCCUUCGCAAGUAGCAAUACUGAUGAAAAUCUGUAUCUAAUACAGUGAUUACUAUGAGGAAUAAAUCACUCUUUGAAAUCAGUGGGCAUUUCUCCCAACAUUAAUCGUGCAACAACUAUGUGUGUGUCAAUUCUUUCAAUAUUGCAGCUGAGAGACGAAGGUUUCAGUCCCUUCUGUUGCUGGAAAUAUGUUUUCAGACGAGGAUGGUUAGACAUUUUUUAAAUUACUUUUUCCAAAUUUUGCAGACUUCUUCAUAAAAUCAAUGAAGACAAAAUAUGAAAAUAUAGGAAAAUGUAAAACCUGAUACAUCCACCUCUCCAGGCAGAGGAAUUUGAGUGCUUAGAAAUGUCUCUUCAGAGGAGUUUCAACAAAUUAAAAUCCUCAUUCCAUAUCCCUGAAUUCUGCAUCCAUUGAUUGUACCGCCCAUGGUGUGAAAUUUUUUUUCAAAAUAAUUUCAAAAUGCAAACCUUGAUUUUGCAAUCUUAUAAGAGAGAUAACAUUUUACUUUGCUAUUGUAUAUAAUAGGACUUUAGCAUCCACAGAUUUUGGUUUCGAUGGGAAGUCCAGGAACCAAAUCUCAUUGAAUACCGAGGGUCACAGUACCAUAGAGAAAGUCUAGCUAUAUUCCUAUAGCUGAAUGUAGAGCUAUGACGUCACUGGCAGGAAUCUCUAAAUGACCCUGUUGCUAUAAAUUAGUGGUUCUCAACCUGUGGAUCCCCAGAAAUCCCAGCCAGUUUACCAGCUGUUAGGUUUUCUGGGAGAUGAAGGCCAAAACAUCUGGGGACUCACAGGUUGAGAACCACUGCUAUAAAUCCAUCUCAAGUAUAAUAGAUAGCCACUUGCUUUCCGAUGAGGAAGAAAUUGCUUGGCCCCAGGGGCUGCAGCUGAAAACUGGUGGGCUUUGGGCAGGGUUGGAGAUUUAUUGAGGCAAGAUUGCAGCCAUUGUAUUUGGAAAUACAGUAGAGUCUCACUUAUCCAACAUUCGCUUAUCCAAUGUUCUGGAUUAUCCAAUGUAUUUUUGUACUCAAUGUUUUCAAUACAUCGUGAUAUUUUGGUGCUAAAUUCGUAAAUACAGUAAUUACUACAUAGCAUUACUGUAUAUUGAACUACUUUUUCUGUCAAAUUUGUUGUAUAACAUGAUGUUUUGGUGCUUAAUUUGUAAAAUCAUAACCUAAUUUGAUGUUUAAUAGACUUUUCCUUGAUCCCUCCUUAUUAUCCAACAUAUUCGCUUAUCCAACAUUCUGCCGGCCCGUUUAUGUUGGAUAAGUGAGACUCUACUGUAUAGAGAAAUUUGACUGCUAUUUAACCAUAUGGGAAAGAAGAUGCAUUACUAAUUAAAAUUAGUAGGAGUCUUUGUUCUCCCGUAGGUAUUCAGUCCUGUGUUCUCUCUCCCUCCCUCUCCCUCUCCCUCUCUCUCUCUCUCUCUCUCUCUCUCUCUCUCUCUCUCUCUCUCUCUCUCUCUCUCGCCUGCCUUGCCUGCUUGC